UAGUUUCACUACAAGAAAAGUAGUCUACCACAACAUCACAAUAACAACAUGCUCUAAAUGUUCGUUGUUACUUACAGUAUUCGACAACGAGCAAAUAAUGUGCGUUGUAGUAAAUCAUUUAAUACCACACGCGUCAUUUGCACGUUGUUAAUUUGGUUAUCAACAAUCUACUUUGUGUGUUGUUAUCUGCAAGUUGUCAAUUAAGUUAUCAACAAGCAGGUGUGCACGUUGUUGAAAAUUUUUCAGAAUGACAACAUGUGGCGAACGCUGUCAAAACUUUGAGAUAAAAAAAAAAAAAUUGGUGAGGGGAGCUGUCCGUUUUAUUCUAAAUUUUAGGAGAAAUUUGAAAUUUGGUUGACCUACCUUUUACAAAGCCACUAAACGCCCUAGUCGAAGCCAAAACUCAUUUCCCGCCACCAAAAGCUCUCGCCUCAGUCGACGGUGACCUUCAUAAUGUUCGACGGGCUCGGAGCCACCUAGUCGUUUCAGACUUCAAGCAGUCCUUCCCUCCCGCCAUCAACUCGUCUCCAGCGUCUCUCAGCUCAGCUCAGCUUCUCUGUCUUUGGUUCCCUUCUGAAGCUCAAGCUCAAGCUCUUUCUCAAGAUCAGCUCCCUUCGAUUCCUGCAAUGCUUCUCCGAUUCUGAUUACAGGGUCAAGAGGGGGAAGAACACGGUGGCUUUAACAAAGUAGCAUUUUAAUCUUUCAUUGAUUCUUAAAAGCCAGAAGAAUUAAACAUGAAGUUGAAACUGGACAUGAAUUUAGCUAACCGAAACCAUAACUUGGACCUAGGCUGCAAUUGCAUUACCUGCACCACUUUGCUAUAAUGACUAAAUCUGUUUUGGUUUCUCA